rnacentral:rRNA from 1 species
AACGCGAAGAACCUUACCUGGGUUUGACAUGGCCGCAAAACCUGCAGAGAUGUGGGGUCCUUCGGGGGCGGUCACAGGUGGUGCAUGGCUGUCGUCAGCUCGUGUCGUGAGAUGUUGGGUUAAGUCCCGCAACGAGCGCAACCCUUGUUCGAUGUUGCCAGCGGGUUAUGCCGGGGACUCAUCGAAGACUGCCGGGGUCAACUCGGAGGAAGGUGGGGAUGAGGUCAAGUCAUCAUGCCCCUUAUGUCCAGGGCUUCACGCAUGCUACAAUGGCCGGUACAAAGGGCUGCGAUACCGUGAGGUGGAGCGAAUCCCAAAAAGCCGGUCUCAGUUCGGAUCGGGGUCUGCAACUCGACCCCGUGAAGUCGGAGUCGCUAGUAAUCGCAGAUCAGCAACGCUGCGGUGAAUACGUUCCCGGGCCUUGUACACACCGGUAUCUC